UGGCCAUCGUGCCCUCCCUCUCGAAGUAGUGCUCUAGGCUCAAUUGGGACCAAGCUCUCGAGCUUGGUGACAUGGGCCAACAAACAUCCAGCACCACGAUCGUCAGGGCAUCAUGCUCAUCGAUUGCCGCUAACAUCACCUUUGGCAACGUGCUCCUUCUCCCUCUAUUGGCCGCUACCUUCCAUUGCUGCACUUUGCCCUCUCUCGAAGCAGUGCCCUGAGUUUGAUUGGGACUAAGCUCUCGAGCCCGAUCUCUGAUUGCAUCAUGCAAAACCCCACACCUA
rnacentral:lncRNA from 1 species